UCCUGUCUUUAGAUUGGACUGGUUUAGAUGAAGAUGAAGAUGCGCAUGUCUGGGAAGACAACUGGGAUGAUGACAAUGUCGAAGAUGAUUUCUCCAAUCAGUUAAGAGCUGAAUUAGAAAAACAUGGAUACAAGAUGGAAACCUCAUAGUUUUUGCUGAAUAUGGAAUGGUUUAACAUUGAACUGUGGAUAGACUGUAUUGAGAAAAGAAGAAAAGGUGGAAAAUGAGAAGACACUUAGUUCAUUAUCUGCUUGGAUUUAUUAUUGUUUUGUAUAAAAAAUAAAGUUUUUAAUCUUA